GAACGCUAGCUACAGGCUUAACACAUGCAAGUCGCGGGGUAACAUCUGGGAGAGCUUGCUCUUCCAGGAUGACGACCGGCGCACGGGUGAGUAACGCGUAUCCAACCUGCCCUUCACCACGGAAUAAUCCAGUGAAAAUUGGUCUAAUACCGUAUGAGGUCAUACGAUGGCAUCAGAAUAUGACGAAAGGUUUAGCGGUGAAGGAUGGGGAUGCGUCUGAUUAGCUUGUUGGCGGGGUAACGGCCCACCAAGGCAACGAUCAGUAGGGGUUCUGAGAGGAAGGUCCCCCACAUUGGAACUGAGACACGGUCCAAACUCCUACGGGAGGCAGCAGUGAGGAAUAUUGGUCAAUGGGCGAGAGCCUGAACCAGCCAAGUAGCGUGCAGGAUGACGGCCCUAUGGGUUGUAAACUGCUUUUAUAAGGGAAUAAAGUGGGUCUCGUGAGACUUUUUGCAUGUACCUUAUGAAUAAGGACCGGCUAAUUCCGUG
rnacentral:rRNA from 1 species